UACGUAGGGGCCAAGCGUUGUCCGGAUUUAUUGGGCGUAAAGAGCUCGUAGGCGGUUGGGUAAGUCGGGUGUGAAAACUCCAGGCUCAACUUGGAGAUGCCACCCGAUACUGCUCUGACUUGAGUUCGGUAGGGGAGUGGGGAAUUCCUGGUGUAGCGGUGAAAUGCGUAGAUAUCGCUUGGAACGCCAAAGGUGAAGACAGGCGACUGGGGAUGUGCCGACGCUGAGACGCGAAAGCCAGGGGAGCGAACGGG
rnacentral:rRNA from 1 species